rnacentral:rRNA from 1 species
GAUGAACGCUGGCGGCGUGCCUAAUACAUGCAAGUCGAGCGAACAGACGAGGAGCUUGCUCCUCUGACGUUAGCGGCGGACGGGUGAGUAACACGUGGAUAACCUACCUAUAAGGCUGGGAUAACUUCGGGAACCGGAGCUAAUACCGGAUAAUAUAUUGAACCGCAUGGUUCAAUAGUGAAAGACGGUUUUGCUGUCACUUAUAGAUGGAUCCGCGCCGCAUUAGCUAGUUGGUAAGGUAACGGCUUACCAAGGCAACGAUGCGUAGCCGACCUGAGAGGGUGAUCGGCCACACUGGAACUGAGACACGGUCCAGACUCCUACGGGAGGCAGCAGUAGGGAAUCUUCCGCAAUGGGCGAAAGCCUGACGGAGCAACGCCGCGUGAGUGAUGAAGGUCUUCGGAUCGUAAAACUCUGUUAUUAGGGAAGAACAAAUGUGUAAGUAACUAUGCACGUCUUGACGGUACCUAAUCAGAAAGCCACGGCUAACUACGUG